rnacentral:piRNA from 1 species
CCCAAUGACGGUGAUGUAUAAUGCUC